ACUCCCCCUCAGCCACCGCCUCCUCCUCCACCAGCACCACUCCCUCCGGGGCACCCCGGUCCCUGCAGAGUCCCUGGCCGGCGCCGCCUCCGCUGCGGCCCCCUGAAUCCGGAGCCUGCUGAGCCCAAGCUGGUGGGACAGACGGACAAACAGAUUCCUUUCGCCUAGCGCUCCGCCGCUGCUGCCUUACGCGGCCCUGCGUCGGGGGAACUGGGAUCGUCCCAGGAGCACCGCGAGGGGUCAUCUCAGGCUGGCUGCAUGCCUCAGCUGAAGAUCCCAGCUCCUGUCAAUGCCACCUCUCCGCUUGACUGUCUCCUUCCAGACUCGAGCAGGUAUGAGCUGGGAAGAAUGCAGGCAGGGCAUGCCCGUGUGCCAGCCCUGCACAGCUGGAGAGAUGAGGCAAGACGUGGAGGAGAAGCCGGGGACUGUCUGGAGGUCUAAGGGUGUUGUUUGCCCCUUGGGCUCCAGAAGAUGCAUGCCAGGACCUGGGGUGGCACCACCAGGAAGCAACAGAGAGGAGAUAAAACUCACAGCAGACAGAUUUGCCUUAACAACAACUGUCUUGAAUUAAAACACGCUUUUCAAGAAAACA